GAUCCUGGCUCAGGAUGAACGCUGGCGGCGUGCCUAACACAUGCAAGUCGAACGAAGCACCUUUUGAGAUUCUUUGGAUGAUUGAUUGGUGACUGAGUGGCGGACGGGUGAGUAACGCGUGGGUAACCUGCCCUGUACAGGGGGAUAACAGCUGGAAACGGCUGCCAAUACCGCAUAAGCGCACGAGGAGACAUCUCCUUGUGUGAAAAACUCCGGUGGUACAGGAUGGGCCCGCGU
rnacentral:rRNA from 1 species